rnacentral:ncRNA from 1 species
CUGCUGGGUUGGGGGUGGCUUCAAAGUGAAGUCUGAGAGAGCUGUCGUGCCAAAGCCAAAAGAUGUCCCCUGUACAUGCAGGCAGCAUACCCCUGGAACUUGAUCAGUGAUAUGAAAACUGCGAAAGGAAAUCCAUGAGUACCAUU